GAAGUGGUAAAAAGAAACUGUAUAAGUCAGCAAGUUUAAGGGAGAAUCUCUGAGAACGUGGACUCAAUAUAGGAUUUCAAAGUGUAAUGGAAUUUCCUAUUUGUGGAGCACUUCAUUUCCUCUCUAAUUUCUCAAAGUAGUCUACUUUACAUGCCAAACAUGAACUUCUUUGGUUGGUAAUUUCUAAAUUCCCAUUGAAGUGGACUAUACACCUAAGGUCUCUUAAUUUGUGCUCUAUUGUUAUUUGUUCCUGUAAGAAUAACUUUAUCUAUAGAUCCAGUUCCAAAAAGGAAGAGACGAACAAGGAAAGAUGAGGAAGAAUGAUCUGCACAACUGCUUGUGUGACAAUCAAUCUCUUCUCUUCUGAAGAGAAAGCAGAAGAUGAACGAAGAUGCACCUAUUUUUUUAAUUUUGCAUUUCUCAGUAUGCCAAUCCAUUCACUGGUCUGAGCCAUUUACCUAGCUAAUGUGAUACUUUCCUUCUGAAAGUCAGGAAUGGUGAUUUAGUUGUUCUAUACUUGAGAUUUAGCAGACGAUGAGUUAUUUUUCCUCUUAUACUGGCUUCUAUUUGUUUGUGAAAUUUCGUAUGUAGUGUUACCAAACAUAUAUGAAAUUAAAGGAUUUUUGACAUAAUGUAAGGUCAUUAAUUUUUGUUAAUGUCAAUAUCAGGGAUGCGAUAAGAACUUUUUUGUUUUCAUAUAAAAUGAGUAAUUAAGAUCGUGAUAUUGAUAUUAAGUGUCAAUUAAACGAGUAAUUAGACUUGCUACUGUGUCACUUUAGCAAGAAAUGUUACAAGAUAUGCUGAAA